rnacentral:rRNA from 1 species
UACGGGGGGGGCAAGCGUGUUCGGAAUUACUGGGCGUAAAGGGCUCGUAGGUGGCCAACUAAGUCAGACGUGAAAUCCCUCGGCUUAACCGGGGAACUGCGUCUGAUACUGGAUGGCUUGAGUUCGGGAGAGGGAUGCGGAAUUCCAGGUGUAGCGGUGAAAUGCGUAGAUAUCUGGAGGAACACCGGUGGCGAAGGCGGCAUCCUGGACCGACACUGACACUGAGGAGCGAAAGCCAGGGGAGCAAACGGG